AAGCUCGUAGUUGAAUUUCGGGGUCAGUAGGUUGGUCGUGCCACCGGUACGUACUGGUCUCACUGAUUCCUCCUUCCUGAUGAGCUGUAAUGCCAUUAAUUUGGUGUUGCAGGGAAUCUGGACUGUUACUUUGAAAAAAUUAGAGUGUUUAAAGCAGGCUAACGCUUGAAUACAUUAGCAUGGAAUAAUGAAAUAGGACGUUCGGUCCUAUUUUGUUGGUUUCUAGGAUUGACGUAAUGAUUAAUAGGGAUAGUUGGG
rnacentral:rRNA from 1 species